rnacentral:rRNA from 1 species
UACGUAGGGUGCGAGCGUUAAUCGGAAUUACUGGGCGUAAAGCGUGCGCAGGCGGUUUUGUAAGCCAGAUGUGAAAGCCCCGGGCUUAACCUGGGAAUGGCAUUUGUGACUGCAUAGCUAGAGUACGGUAGAGGGGGAUGGAAUUCCGCGUGUAGCAGUGAAAUGCGUAGAUAUGCGGAGGAACACCGAUGGCGAAGGCAAUCCCCUGGACCUGUACUGACGCUCAUGCACGAAAGCGUGGGGAGCAAACAGG